UACCACCCUGAUCAUGCCUAGGCCCUAACCCCAUUCCGUAAUCCGGAUGGGGGACCGUGCCAGGUGGGCAGUUUGACUGGGGCGGUCGCCUCCUAAAAGGUAACGGAGGCGCCCAAAGGUUCCCUCAGGCUGAAUGGAAACCUGCCAAAGAGUGUAAAGGCAUAAGGGAGCUUGACUGCAAGACCAACGCGUCGAGCAGAUACGAAAGUAGGGCUUAGUGAUCCCACGGUUCCGAGUGGAAGGGCCGUGGCUUACCGGAUAAAAGCUACCCCGGGGAUAACAGGCUAGUCUGGUCCAAGAGUUCACAUCGACGACCAGGCUCGGCACCUCGAUGUCGGCUCAUCGCAUCCUGGGGCUGGACAAGGUCCCAAGGGUUGGGCUGUUCGCCCAUUAAAGCGGUACGCGAGCUGGGUUCAGACCGUCGUGAGACAGGUCGGUCUCUAUCCGCUGUGGGCGUAAGGGAUUUGAGAGGAGCUGCUCCUAGUACGAGAGGACCGGAGUGGACAGACCUCUGGUGUGCCAGUUGUCAUGCCAAUGGCAUCGCUGGGUAGCUACGUCUGGCAAGGAUAACCGCUGAAAGCAUCUAAGUGGGAAGCCUGCCUCAAGAUAAGAUCCCUCUGUCCGUAAGGACUUAAAAUCACAGAUAGACUAUCUGUUAUAUAGGCAGCGUGUGUAAGCACAGCAAUGUGUUGAGCUAAGCUGUACUAAUUGAUUGAGGGCUUCUC
rnacentral:rRNA from 1 species